CUUGCAUCUGAUGCGUACUAAUGUUUUAGUUAGUAUAUUUCAUAUGAUUCUUGCAACCAACUUUCGUAAAAUAUAAAAUUAACUUAAACUGUAUUAAUCUUUUUUUUAUUUUUUAAUGUCUAAUUUAUAUCUGAAUUCUUAAUAUUAUAAAAUUAACAUUUAUAUUCAAUACCAAGUUAACAACUGUCUAAACUAUUUAAUAAUUAUUUAUAUAUUUUAAAUUUUAUAAUAAAAAAUAAUAAAUAGAUUAAAAUUUUAAAAAAUAUAUAAUUUUUUUUCUAUAUAUGAAAAGAAAAAAAAAUUAAGAAAGAGUUAAAAAAGAUCCUCUCCUCUCCCCUGUUGGGCCCUCCCCGCCGCGCCAGCGCCCGCGCCAGUGCCCAACCCACACUGGGCUGGCCCACCCGAGCCUCCGCCCUCGGCUUGCGCCUAGAGAUGUCAACGGGUCGGAUUCGGGGCGGAUUUUUAAAAACCCGAACCCGAAACUGACUCCAAACCCGAGACCGGAACCCGAACCCGAACCCGAACUCGACGGAUUUUAAUAAUCCAUAUCCAAACUCGAACCCGACCAAAAAUCCGAAACCCGAACCCGAAAAUUUGAACCCGAAAUAAUUAUUUUUUUUCAAUAUUUCAAAAUAUAUUAUAUUAAAUCUAAAUUUUUAAAAUACAAAUUCAAAUAUAACAUCCAAUAU
rnacentral:lncRNA from 1 species